UCUGAACCAGCAAAUCCUGGGCCACUGAGAAGCGGAAUGUGCGAACUUAACCGCUGCGCCGCCGGGCCAGCCCAGAUCCUCUCAUUUAUAGAGGAAGAAACAGACCCAGAGAAAUUACUUGUUCCAGGACACACAACUAGGAGAUUGCAGAGGGAAUGUGAGAACUCGGAUAUCCUGCCUCUGUAUCAAUGGUAUUUCCAGGUACAAUGCCACCUUCUCCAGGUCCCCUGGCAUUGCCUGACCCUCCCUUUACCCCAGAAGGAGACCCCCAACUCUUGGAGCUUCCUACUUUGUCUAAAGAGCAGUGAAAAUGCCGUUCUAAGUCCAUGUGCACCCUGAACGCCGAGCAUAGGACCAUACCACAGGAACAGCCACCCCGAAAAAGGGGAGCCCAAUUACAGGAUCAGCAAGCAGGAACACCAAAAUAACUCAUGACCACAAGGCAGAAGUUACAAAAUGGUCAUCUACAGGUCAGAUCUGACUCACAGAUAUGUUUUGUUUGGCCACACAGUGUUUUCAAACAUUUUGGAAAUGUCUCGCCACCUUCUAAAAAUCAGAUUCCAUAUAAAAACUCAGAUUUAUAGCCUGCAUUCCUGCAUGGCAACAAUUACCUGGAACCGCUGCCUGAUUCUCCUCACUUUCCGCAGACAUCCAACCACCCACUCUGUUCCAACCAUCCACUCUGUUCCACCCGCCCACUCUGUUCCAACCAUCCACUCUGUUCCACCCGCCCACUCUGCCGCUUGGAGCGAAGCAGAGCUGCAGCACAGUGUGCCUACCUGCCCUGCUCUGCCCUGUCCCACAGCAGCUCUUCAAAGACCGGCAGAUGGUGACCUUGGAAUGGCCCCUGGAGUCUUCUGUCUGCAAGCCAAUGAAAGCCAGGUCCUUCAGCCGUCCCUCCCCUGCAUCGGGCUGCAGUCUCCUCCUGUCGGUCCGGUCCCUUACCCUCUUUCUGGACACACUCCCCAAGGUGCCUGUGUCUCUUAAAGGGAUGCAUUCAGAACCCAGAACAACGCUCCCCAGGGGGCUGACCCAGGCAGAGGAUUUAAAGAAAGUCUUUACAUUGGACAUCAUUAGUUUUCAAUCUGGCAAUCAGAGCAGCGAGCACAAUGUCAACCCCAAUUGAAAGAAGCCCCACAACAUGCAAAGUUGAUUCUCUCUUAUGACUCGAGUUAAAUAGCAUAACCCUCGGCAGGGAAGAGCAAAUCAUUUCCUGAGACUGUGCAGGCAAACCUGGAGCAAUGUGGGAGGAAUGACAAGCAUCCUGAAACAUGUUUCAUUUAUAAGUAUAAGCGGUGAGAAGAGUCUAAGGAAAAUACUUGUAAAAGCCCUUGUAAGAUGACAGUGAUCUAACUGGCUAUUUGAGGUUACUACCGGUUCUCUCUGCUCCCAGCAGAAACCCAGGUGGCCUCCUUUUUUUUGCCCUCUGAGGUUAAAACUGCACAGGUAGAAAGCAAGAAAACUAAUGGUGCUCUAGAAACAACACUGGCCUGGGAAUUUGCUACCCUGGGGACUUUCUCCCAUUUGCUUCUGACUAUCAGGAACUCAGGUCUGUCACUUAACUCUCUGGGCCUCAGUUUCCACAUUUGUGCAACGAGGUUGUUAAAUCAGAUUAGAAAUUCCACAAACUCCAGUGGUGCAUCCAAACACGGGUCAUCGAUGUGCAAUUCUUCCCAGGCUUUCUCCACACACAGGUCCCCUGAAAUGUUAAUCUUUUACUUAAUGCUCCCCUUAAAACUUACUUCAAUUCUAGUCAUAAUUUUUCAAUUUAGCCUCAUCCCAAAACACUUAUGAGAUCACAGAUUGGAUGUGUUAAUUAUGAUUGUAGUACAUAUUAAAAUAAAUAGCCAGGAAUUAAAAUUUAAAACAACGUUUGUCCGCGUACCAAAAAUCAUCUUGUUUGCAUGCAACGCUUUGGGACAUCAACACUUGGAGUUGUGGAUGAACUUCAGGAAGCCCUUGAAUAUCCCAAAACUGGAUACCAAGUUGCAUGUGGGAGAGGAGGCUUUUUGUGGGGAGAGAUUUUACAAAUUUCCUGUGAUUCUCGAAAGUCCAUUUGUUUUAUUAAAAAGCCAAGAACCAUUGCCUCUAAUUGGAUCCCUAAGAACUUGUGAGAUCUUUCUUGAGAAGGGACUGGGCAAAAGGACCGGAGAUUCUAAAUCGCCUGCCUGCGGCACUUUUCAGCAAAUUUCCUCCCAUCCUUUUCUUUCAAUGUCUUCAGAUGCACUAAGGAAAUACCGUUGAGUUGCUUGGUGAGGCGGGAGUGGAGAGGACUUCUCUUGGACCUGAGCCUGGACGUCGAUAGGGCCCAGCCUGAUCCUGGCUCCAUCUAGGUCCUGGGCAGGUUAGUCUUGGAGGUGCUGGAAUGACAGCACCUGGAGGAAGGAGCAGGGCUUUGCUUAAACACUUGGCAAAAGCCCCCAGGACCAGAAUCACACUGAGCACAGCUUAAGUAAAUCAUUCGUUGCUCUUCAGAAGCCUCGGAAGUUCAGCUCUGCAGGACUGUUGCAGGGGCUGGGGCAAGAAUUAUAAACGCUCUCCUUCCAGCACUGCUGCUCCUGGUGGAACUCCCUGCUAUUUCCCCACCUGCUUGUUUUGCAGCUUGCUGAAUUUCCAUAUGUCUGACCCAGAUUGUUAAGUGGCUUUGACCGUCUGGCCACAGGAAAAGACCUAUGACUUUCUCAGGCCCUGGAAGUGAUGGUGGGACAGCUGCAAGCAGACAUAAAUGUGAACAAACCAGACGUAUCACAUAGUAGCCUUGAUCCUGCCCUGUGGUAACUGGACAGGGAGCUUCUGGAGAGGAGGGGCAGAGUUAUUCAUCAAAGAGCAGCUAGUGGACAUGCAAUAAACGGUGAAGGACUGAGUGACGACCGCUACUCAGGGCAGUCGUGUAUGCCAUGCACAGGGAUGGAAAGGUAAUCAAGGGAAGCCUUACAGUAGAGGUGAUAUUUGAAUGAUGCCUUAGGGCCGAGUAUAAUUUUAACAGCACAGGAGGCUUUGGUCUGAUGUGGUGAAACACAGGGGCUCUGGCAUCUGGCAUCUGAUUGGGUUCGAAUUCUGAUGCUUCCAUGUGCCUGGUGUGCCCUCAUGGAAAUUCUUAACCCCUCUAAGCCCAACUGUCCUCACCUACAAAAUAGGGAUAAGGACAGUGUGUGAGCAUUCAUUAAGAAAAACCACAUAGUGCACUUAGCGCAGAGCCUUAGGACCUGUUCCCUGUGGUCCUCAUCGGCAUCGUCAUCAUCAUCAUCAGAGAGGAAAGUGGAGUGGACAUUCUCUGGGGAGGGACUUGAAUGAAUGGAGCACGAAGGAGGCAGCCAGUGUGCCUAUGAUUUCCACAGCAACAUCAGCCCACCUGAGCUACUCUCUGCUAAAGCUUGCGAUCCUGCUAACAGAUGUCAGAGGGGCCUUGUAGAAGGAAUGGUCAACCCCCUCGCCCUUCUCAGCAGGCUUUGUUCUGAUCGGCUGCACUGCUCCAUGCUGGCCAGCGUUUGGGCUCUGCAUUUCCUCCUGUGACUGUGGAACACUUGGCACCAGGACAGAGUCUCCUGGGUCCAGCCAUGGGGACCUCCUGUAUCCACAGACCCUGGAAACAGAUCCUUCCCAUGACUGCAUUUCCUUGAAGAGAACCAAACAAGAAGGCCCAGCAGCCGCAGUGUCACUCAGCAUCAAAGGAGUCAGGAUGCAGGAGGAGCCACAGAAUUGCCAGAGGCUGGUGCUGAACUUUUGCUCCUGGGCAGGUCCAGCUAGGCCUAUACAUCACUGGAGCAGGAGUCCCUCGAUGCCAUGGACCCUGGUGGGCCCCGUUCAUUCCUCACAUGGUCAUUAUCAUCCCCUGUGAAUCAGACUCAGCUGCUUUAUAUUUUCUUCUUUGCGCUGAUAUUAUGUCAUGGCAGCAAGUAGCUCUUAUAUCAGGACAGUGCCUGCUGCAUAGUAAGCACUCCGGGAGUAUUUACCUACAGUGGGAAGAAUGCAUGAAUGAGUAUCCACAGUGCCUGGCACAUAGUAGAUGUCCCAUAAAUAGUUGUUAAAUGGUGAGAGUUUGCCUUCCUGGCUGGAGAGCAGAGGGCAAGAUUUUGUUCAGGAAAGCCUUAAUGGAGGUGGUUUUUGAACUAGACCUUGAAAGAUGGAGUGAAAUUCCACAAGCAAGGCUGAGCAGCAGAGCAUUCCAAACAAAAGGGACAAGUAUUUAGACAGAGGAGGCAUUGGGAACAUUUGAGAAAUUGAGAAUCUGGAAAUGUAAAGAGGAAUUGGAGGAAGCGAUGCCUGGAGAAGUUUCCCCAAUAUUGUAGAGCGUCUCAGAGGCCAUGCCAAAGACGGGGAGCCUGCCUCCAUCAGCAGUGGAGAGCCAGUGAUGGUCUUCAAGGAGAGAAGUAAUAUGAUCUGACCUAUGCUUUAAGAAGAUUAAUAUGGCAAUGCUUUGCAGAGUGGAUUUGAAGUGGAGGGAGACGGAAAACAAAGGUCUGAAACCAGAAUCAUGGAGAAAGUAUGAACAGGAUUCGGUGUAUUGUUGGAUGUUGAUUUAAAACAAUGGGCAGGGAAGGGGAGAGUCAGAGAUGAAGUUUAAGUGCCUACAUGACUGACUGAGAGAGAGAGAAAAUGCCGUUGCAGCAUGAGCAGAGAAGUCAGGAGAAGGAGCAGGAGGGGCUGGGGAUCUGGAAAGGAGAAUAACGCCAAGCCUGCUUUUGUCUGUUACUCAGAUUCCCCAUUUGGUGAAUGCUUGCGGACAUACAAGUGGCAAAAUCCCACUGGCUGUUGGAAACAGAGGUUGAGAUUCCGAGUGUGGAUAGGGGCUGGAGACAUUCUGAGUUACCUCCGUAAAAGCCACCGCCAUGGAUGGAACCGGCCCAGGCCUCGGAAUCAGCAUAGUUGAUAGAGUUGGGAAAAUCUGAUUUCUAAUCCUAGCUCUGCUUCCUCUUCUGUGUGUGACCUUGGGCAAAUCUCUUAACUCAUCGGAGCCUCUACUUUUCCAUCUGUAAAAUGGGAACGAUAAUAAAUCUACCUCAUAGGGCUUUAGUGAGAAUUAAAUAACAUACACAUGUGAAAUCCUCAGCGUGGUUUCUACUAGCGGUAGAAUGCUCAAUAUAUAUAACAAUUAUCAAUAUUAUUUUAUUACUUUUAUUUAAAGCAGAGGUUGCAAAUACAAAUGGCUAUAGGAGCUCAACUGGAAAGAGAAAGGAAUUAAGCCAAUUCUUCAUCUAAAAGGAGCAGUGGCUACUCACCUGCAGCAGAUUACUGCCACAUGAGAAUGGGAAUUUAGGUUGCCAGACUUGUAAUUUUUCAAGAGAAGCCAGAAAUCUAGACUUUUGAGAGCUGAAGUUUCCCAUUUAAAAUGUUGACUCUAAAUUUAAAUUAUAAAAUAAUAUUGUGGCAUCCCACAGCGCAUGGACCAAACAAAGCAUGUCUCUGGGCCGGGGCAGCCCAAGGGCUGCCAUUGUGAAAUGUGAUUGAAGACAGGCUUCCAGCUUGAUGCAGAGAUCCUGGAAGAUAGAGCUGCCACUUCCCCCUCCUGAGCCACUGGGCCCCAACCUCUCCCACAUGUAAAAAGACAGCCUUGCAGAGGAUGACCUGAUCCCCUCCAGCUCGGCACAUCUGAGAUCUCAAGUGUCUGCUGAGAUGGAGUCCACCCUUGAUGGUGUCAAGGAGAUGAGGGCUGGGAGGGGGCCAGGGCUGGGCGAGCUGCCAGGGAGACCAGGCCUGGCCAUGGGGCUGCAGCGGGGAGAAGCCCGUGGUUAUUUACCUGCAGUGGAAAAGGACAAGCAGGAGAGGUGGAGAGGCAGAGAAGCAGAAUAGCCGACCCGACUAGUUAAACCACUUUACUAGGAACUACAGCUGAACCACACUAAGUCUGAACCUGCGCGCGCGCGCGCGUGUGUGUGUGUGUGUGUGUGUGUGUGUGUGUGUGUGCGCGCGCGCCAGGCUGCCUGAGCUGGGGAGGCACUCGGAAGAGGAGACAGAGGAGAACAGGCCUGUGUGUAUAUCUGUUUCAUCUGUUUGCUUUCCUCGAGUUUAUUCCAGUGCGAACAGACCUUUCUAAUCUCUUGUCCUCACAGAGAAGGAAAUAUCAGCCGUAGCUCCAUUUCCAGAAAUCUUCACAGCACCUCCCUCCCCUGCAACCUUUGUCCCCAGGUCCCCAGGGUCAGACUCUGCUGCCAGGUUUCUGGGUUCUCCAACCCAGAGUGGAGAUAUAGAGAAUCCUACAGGCCACCCUAAGUAUUAAGAGCCACCAGCAAGCUCAGACCCUCUUGCCAAGGGAUAGCUGAGCACUCCAGGGCUCCAGGGCCUGCUCGGCAAAGACAGGGCAGGUCGAUGCAUGCCCAGCAGGGACAGAGGAAACACUGCUGUUGUCCCAGCAGAAUGGGGUGUGGAUGCUGGCAGGGCAGGAUCACCUUUCAGGAGGGUACUAGGUUAGCCAAAGGUGAAGAUUUGGGUUCCUCCACUUUGCUGGGAUAUUUGACUUUGAUCCAUGAUGACUUUCUCCCUCUGAGUAGAUGCAUCCUGUAGUACAGUGACCCAUGACAUUUUAGAAAAAGAGAUUUGCUAUCUUUUUUUAGCGGCAGAACUCUUUCAUUAAGAUGCCAUCUUGCACUAAACCCCAAUGUAUAAAAUAUAUUUUUAAAUGAGUGGUUAACAUGUUCCUUAGUUUGAAUUCUUGUUCUUUGGCGGCAAAGGUGUGAUUAUUUUCAAAAUCUCAGAAGUGCCUAAAGGAAACUUCAGGGUUCUUUGGAGCAUGGUGUUAAGACUACUGAUAAAGGGCUCCCUUUCUGGGAUGCUGGGAUUCUGGGUGGUCGGGGUUCACUGCCUCAUCUUUCACAAAGUGAGACAAAGACGCAAGGUUACUGCCGUCAUGUUUCAGAAAGUGAAAUAAAGACAAUAGAAGGGCAUUGCAGCAUUUCACAGCAUUUUACUGAUGAGAGUAGAAUGGGAGGGAACUAGCAAUGUGUGUUGGAAAGAGAAAGGGUGGUGCAGAAAAAAAUCUGGGUCUCAGUCUGUUCUAGUUUGGGCUUUGGAGAGUUUGGGCUCUAGUCUUUGCAGGGUUAGUGCUCACUGUGCAGCACUGGAGAAAUACUUUCUGAUCUGUGGGCUCAGAGUCCCCAUUCGUGGAAUCCCUUCGCCUGAGGGUCUAGACGGUGGCUGCCACUCACUGUCUUUGGCACAGAAUGUUGUACGAUCAUGAAACCACACAAGUACACUCACUGUGCCACAGAAUGGACCCAGUCUCCUCUGCACACCCAAAUUUAUAUAUGAUACUAAGUUCUAUAGGGUGAUUACAGACCAAGCAAUGCAAAUAAACUGCUGGAAGGUCUCAGGUGGUCCCACGAGGUGCAGAAGAGCAGCAAAUGAGGUCACUGUUUGUAAGCCCAGCCCUGGAGCCAGACCCAGAUGUCAGUCCUGGCUGUAUCAAUACCAGCUGUGUGAUCCUAGACAAGCCACUUAGCCUCUUGCUUUCUCCAUCUACAAAAUGGAAUGGCAUGGUCCCUCCUUGGCAGGGUAGCUGGGUUAGUCAGUCUGAGAAGGCACAGCAAGGAAGGCUCUGACUGCACCCAGACCUGGAUUCAGAUCCUUCUCUUCCACUAAUAAGCAAAGUGACUCUGUAACCCUUAGUUUCCGCACUUGUCAAACAAGGAUGACAAUUAAAUCAGAAAACUUGUAAAACACUUUGGUUAGCACUGUACUUGAAAUAUAGUAAACACCCGAGGAAAAAAAUGGUAUGACCAAGUACGAGGAAAACUUGGAGGACACAGUGCCAGCUAGAUGAAAGAAUGGGGAAGAAUGGAUAGCACAUUGCAAUAGGGACUGAGCUGGCACCCUGGCCAAGCCCCACUUCCCAGUUGACCUCCAGAAGGUUCUUCCUCUUUCUGGGCUACCGUCUCUCCAGCUGUCCAGGGAGGAUGUCGCACUCCACAAUCAGAUUCGAAUAUUCUCUGUUUUAUGGUGAACCCUCAGUUUCCAGUUACAGCCCCACAGAGGGAUCUGGGAGUCAGUGUCCAGGGUUCCAUCUCAAACACCUUCGGGGUCAGGUGCACAUCAGGCAUGAGUAAAGGGAACCAUCUUGAUUGUGUUGUUUUUAAGACUGUCACAAAGUUGACCUAUUAAACAGGAAAGAAUAUGCUUCAUACCCAGCAAGAAAUGUGCUCGCCCCCACUUUUCUUGAACGACUGCCGCAGCCUCAAAUUUGGAGCGACUAGAGGGCGAGUUAGGCCCUGAGGUAAACGGGGGCGCUCCAGCCCCAGCUAAAGGCGGCGUCCACUAUUCAGCAACAGUCGAUUGUUGCCAAACAGAAUGAAGGCUCCAUGUACUACAUCUUCCAGAUUUUCAAGAAAAGUUACAAAUCAAAUUUUGUAUGUAUGUGAAAUCUUCUGAUCAUGAAGAUUGGUACAUAGUUCAAAAUCUUUAAAAAACAAUACUUCUACAAUCUGAAGAUUCAGAUCAUGGAUGGCAUUUUGCAAUUUCAGGUGUAAUCAGUUCCUAAAACAUAGCAGGUGUUGGCUGCUGUGUCCCCAUGCUGCCCGCCUCCAUCUCCCCAACAAAACAUGUGUUCCUCACUCUCCAUAGAAUGCAUGCUCACCACAUUUGGCAGGACCCGGGAUGAAUGAGGCUCUGACCCAAAUGCAGCUCUCCAUGGCCAUUGUUUUCAACCACGGAGUCAUGCUCUGGAGUCACACUGCUUGGGUUCUUACUCCAGCUCCACCAUUCUCUGGCUGUCUGACCUUGGGCAAGUUAUUCAACCUCUCUGAACUUGAGCUUCCCAGUCUUUCAAUAAGCAUGAUUAUAAUAAUGCCUCGCAAAGGGGUUGUGAGGGUUAAAUGAAAUCCUGGGUGGAAAGCCUUAUCGCAGAGCCUGUCACAGAGCAAAAGAUAAUAUUUAAUUUAAAAGAAAAGAAACCUACAGAGAGUUUCACGCCUCAGAAAACGUCGUCAGAGAAGAACAGAACAGCAUUGCAAGAGGAAACUCAAGUUCUGGAGAAACGUGAGCUAUUAUUGCGAUUCUCCAAGUACAGAAAAUAGAUGUGGAUUAGAGGUGGUGCGUGGUGUGGUGGGGGUGGAGGGAGAAAGAGUGCUGUGUCAAUAGGACAUCUGGGUGUGGGUCCCCACUCAGCCAUUUUUGUAACUAACCCUGUGACCAGCCAUCAGCAAGGCCCUUCCUGCGCCUGGGCCUUAACGUCUCCAUUUCUAAAAUGAGGGGGUUGGGCCAUCUGACCUCAGAGGGCACUUCCCGACUAAAGCUCCGGAAUCUUCCGACAAUCAAGAAUCGCAGCAGCAGAAGAAACGAAGACUUAGUCCACUAACCCCAAACUCUAGGAUGGCCAUGAGGGGAGGCAGUGUUUAAAGGGAAAUGUACCCCAAAAGGUAAUGUGAGGCUAAAAUAACACCAGAUUUGCUGGGAUAAGAAGGUUUCAUUGAGACCUAAGAAGUUAAUUGAGACCUAAGACCUAAUUGAGACCUAAGUCUUCCAGAAUGUGGAGGACAUCUCCUGGAAACAGGAUUAAGCUGGUCCUGUGCAAUCUGUGGGCAGAAGACAUUUUAGAGGUGACCAUUCUGACAAGCGGAGGUGUCUUCCCUCAGAUGGCUUCAGGGCACAUUCUCUCACUUCGUUCAGGUCUCUACUCAGAUAUCACCACCUCAGGUCUGUCUUCCUAACCCUGUCCUGACCCUAAGCCUGUCUCUAGUGACCUGGUCUGAACUGUCAUUUCCGCCCCUCUCCAUGGCCUUCACACACAGCCUGACAUCACAUUAUAGACUGACUCCCCCAGACGAUGGUCAGCUCCUCCAGGCCCUCUUGAAACAGGGCCUCGAACGUAGCAGAUUGUCCAUAAAUAUUUGUGGCCAGAAAAAAAAAGAAGGAGGAGGAAGACGUCCUACGACAUAAUGCUGUCUUUGGUCCUGGUGAACAAAACCCGAAGGUCCAGGAGGUCUGUCACUUUCAGGAACUGUUGAUUGUCCAGGGCUUAUAAACAAAAGAACAAAGGCAAAAUCGACUCACUGGAAGGGAAGGAAUCUUGAAGCGAACUGAACAUAAAACCUGCUUGGAAUUUAAACACCCAGAGUGGUGUGCAGAAGGAACACGGUCACAAACCCCAGGGAGGGGUCCUAGAAACCAAAGAAAUUCCAUCCUGGUUCUCGGUCCCCGUUCGCAAGAUUUUCAUGGAAGGGGCGGGUCUAGGGUUCAGGGUGGCAGUUUUACUUUACGGGCUGUAUGUAUGACUUUUGGCAAAUUCCUUCCUCUCUGCAGGACUCAGUUUCUCCUUCCGCUGAGAGAGAGAUCUGGGCUUCAGCUGGGCACCUUUUUCUCUGUUCCUUCAAACCUCCUUGUCAGCGGCCUCAAAGGCUUCAGCACACAGUCUUCCUUUCCUCCCACCCCUCCGCGCCUCCUUUUCUGUUGGUAAAUAAACUGUUUCCGCCUUCAUGUGGAAUUGCACCCCCAGAAUGGGGAAGUCUCAGUCGCAGACAGCAGGGUGGGGAGGCUCUCAUCACUGGCCAGACCAGCGUCUGGACCUCGGGUUACUUCCUCUACGGCACCAGGGCUAAUGGGCCUGCACUUCUCGUCUCUCUCUCUCCAGAAGUAAUGGUAACACUGCCUGUUUUGCCAACUCCCCUCCACGACAUGUGACAGUAGGACACCCCAUGGAGGAAAAGCUGCCAACAAGGGCCCUGAGUCCUUGGCGUUGGGUGAGAAGGUGGAGCUCUCCCAGUAUAUGACUCUGGGCCUCCCAGGGGAUCCAUCUCUGCUAAGCAGCAUUGACUUCCUUACCGAUGAAAUGGAAAUAAGAACUCUCACCAGCCAACUCAGGGCUUUUGUAAGAAUCAGAUGGGAAGAUAGAUUUGGAGGAAACCUUAGAAUUGCUACUUAGACCCUUGGGUCUGAGACUCUCAGCUCUGACCUCCUGCCCUGUCUAACGUGCUUUCUUCACUUUGCCCAUCCUGUUUGCCUCUCCAGCAAUAACAAAGCAGUUCAGAGCACCGGCUCUGGAGUCAGACCGCCGGGAGUUUCAUGCUGGCUCUCCUAUUUACCAACUGUGUGGUCUUCGGCAAAUUAACUCACCUCUCUGAUCCUGUUUCCUCAUCUGAAGGUGGGGAUAAAACAGAACUUACAUCAAGGAUUGCUGUGAGAUAACAUACGAAAAACAUCUGAGGCAGCACCUAAGAUAUGUUAGUUCCUGUUGUAAUUAGCGUUAUCUCUUUGAAGACCCCCAACCUGUUGGUGACAGCACAGCCAUCACUGACAGGAUCAGUGUAAAACUGAACAUAACUAAGGAAACUAAUAGGUAUCCUGAAAACAGUCAGUUCUCAAGGUGGGGUCCCCAGACCUUUGGGAGUCCUAGAGAUCUGUUCAAGGGACCCACAAAACCAAAACUAUUUCCUAGAUAAUACUCCUUUGCCCUUUUCACUGUGUUGACAUUUACACUGAUGGUGUAAAAGCCAUAGCAGGUGAAACUGUUGGUGUCUUUGCAUGAAUCAAGGUAGUGGCACCCAUCUGUACAAUUCAUCACUGCAUUCUUUACCACUAGACACUGCCAGAAAGAAAGAAAAAGAGUGUGCUUCACUUAAUACCGUGUUUUAUUAAGCAAUAAAUACUGCUAAUUUUAUUAAAUCUUGA